UUCCUUUCAUACCUAAUAACUCAAUCAUAAAACAAAGGUCAUAGUUCAAUAAUUUCAUAUGGGCCUAAAAUGAAUGCAAUUUCCAAAAGUAGUUACUUGCAUUCAAGUACUCUAGCUGAACCUUGAAAAUACAUAACAAAAAGAUGAGGAUUAUAACUGUUGAAUAUACAGCUGUUGUUUACGUAUAAACUAUUCAUGAACUGCUAUAUGCUGCAAGGAAAGUAUUUCAUAAAGAAAACUGUCACACUCCAUAAAGCCACUUACUAACUUUAGUGACGUAACCUGUCACGUUGCUCAUAUAGUUACUGCAAACACCACCCUCAGUUUACUCAGCUGAAUAAUAAUACUACUGCAAGUAAAGCGUAUAGGAACACGAUUAAUUUCGAAUUUUACCAUUUCAGUCUCGUAUCGCUAGCGGCACGAAGCAGCGGAGGUUCAAAACAUGGAAGACAAUAACACAGAAACUGAGGAACCGAACGAUGAUCCGCCAGGAUACUAUGAAAACUAUGAAUACUCAUCGGCUUGUGAGAAUCCUACGAUAUCUGAACAUCCCGAAUAUCCUGGAAAUCCACCACUACCAGUAUACCAGUCGCAACCCCCACCACCCGAAUACCAGUCACAACUACCACCACCCGGAUACUCGUCACAACCACCACCACCACCACCACCACCACCCGAAUACACGUCACAACCACCACCUGAUUACUAUUCCCUCUAUCCAGAACUACAACGGCCAGAACUACAACAGCCAGAACUACAACAGCCAGAACUACAACAGACAGGACUACACCAGCUACAACAACUAUGGACUAAUGUUCAGGCAACAACAAAUCACCAAAGGUUUCUUGUAGUGCCUUCUCCUGUGACUCACUGUGACAAUACUCUCCUUAGAAUGCGAGCUGUACGCAACAAUGCUGUCUUCUGCAUCACUUCGAGCCUGACAGCAGCACCAAUAUUCUUAAUAUGCAUUUCAAAGCUCUUGGAAACUGCUCCUAAUGCACCAGUUACCACCGAGACAAAACUACGAAUCACAACACGUUAAAAGUAAGAUGAGCGAGGCAAUUUGUGUCACAUUGUUCUGCUUUUUUCCAACAGGACUUGCUGCGAUUUUUUUUGCAUAUAGAGCGGUGAGCUGGCAGAAUCGGUAGCAAGCUGGGAAAAAGGUUUAGCGGUAUUUCGUCUGCUGUUACGUUUUGAGUUUAAAUUCCGCCGAGGUCGACUUUGCUUUUCAUCCUUUCGAGAAAGAUUAUGCGAAGGCAUUGUACUAUAGUGGUGAUUCAGCUGCUGGAGUGAAAGCAAACAUUAUUGCUGGAUAUUUCAUCUGUAUAUCAGUGUUCGGUGGUUUACUCUCUGUUAUCGGUGUACUUCUUGUACGCUUUGUUAUUGGUGAUGCAUGGAGUUGACAUAUACAAAUUUCAUAUAAAACGAAGAGUGUUUACUUUUUUUUUUAUUCAUGUUUAAUUUAAAUCAUAUAAAAUAUUCUCAGUAAAAAAUCUUUAAAUAUAUUGAGAAAUCAGCACGACAGAUUAUAUAUUUCAUACUAAAUCAUAUAUUUCAAAUAUUAAACAAUGAUAUAUUCUGAUCGAUGAACUCUACAGCCCCAACUUGAAUGCAGGAACUAAGAAAGGAGUAAAAUUAUGACAGAGAUAUUCCUGAACCACAUGUACCAUUCCUUACAUCCAAUUUAAUCAUCCGUGAAAGCAUUGGGUGAUGUUGCAUUUUGGUUUUACUUGAAUAUUCUUUAUCAUUAUCUCUGUAACUAGCAACAUAAAUGUUAAAAGAACAAAAUUGUUAAACACUUCCCUGGUUUUUCGAAAUGUUUCCUUAAAGACAGUUAUUUAUUUGAGUGUUAAAUAUUCAUCUCACUCAGUUUAACAGAAAUGAGACACCAGAUACACAAAAAUAGACUGUUACACAUUGAUAAAUGUUGCUAUACAUGUCAACACAAGAUUCUAGAUAAUGGUACAUAGAAGUGGCAAGCUGCGAGCUGGCAGAAACGUUAGCGCGCCGGGUGAAAUGCUUAGCGGUAUUUCGCCUGCCACUGCGUUCUGAGUUCAAAUUCCGCCGAGGUCGACUUUUCCUUUCAUCCUUUCGGGGUCGAUAAAUUAAGUACCAGUUACGCACUGGGGUCGAUAUAAUCGACUUAAUCCGUUUGUCUGUCCUUGUUUGUCCCCUCUGUGUGUAGCCCCUUGUGGGUAGUAAAGAAAUAGGUAUUUCGUCUGACGUUACAUUCUGAGUUCAAAUUCCGCCGAGGUCGACUUUGCCUUUCAUCCUUUCGAGGUCGAUAAAUAAAGUACCAGUUACGCACUGGGGUCGAUGUAAUCGACUUAAUCCCUUUGUCUGUCCUUGUUUCCCUCCCCACCCCAUGUUUAGCCCCUUGUGUGCAAUAAAGAAAUAAGAAGUGGCAAAAAUUGAAAACUACAUUCAAAUUUUGACCACAUAUGUGAAGGAAUAUUUCUUCUAGCUUUCAUUGAUAAAUAUUUUGGUUAGUAUUGGUUUAAAUACUUCUUGUCAUGUCAAACAAUGGGAAGUGAGAGUUCACAACAAACAUACGAAUGGCAUUUUGCAAACAAGAAAGUAAAUCUCCAACGCACUAAGGCUGUAGGGAUAACAGCAAAAAAGAUUGAAUAUCUUGCCCAUAUAAAACGGGAAAAAAAGAAAACGUUGCCAGUUGGCGGCUACUGCACGCGAACCCCUCAGAUACCAUCUAUGGACUGUACCCCUACGGUAAACGGCCCCCGAGUGACAGGCAGCGAUAGAUUUAAAGCUAAAUUACAGAUAUUCCAAUGCGAUAACAUUUUAUAAACAAACUUUGCAAGUGUUCGAUGUGGUUGGUAUUUUAUAAAAAUGAAAAUAAUGAUUUUUUUGUACUUCAAUGAUUUUAUUUCCAAUAUGCGCAUUGAAUUUGUCUGUCUUUAUAUUCUGGGUUUAAUUUCCGCCGAGGUCGACUUUGCCUUUCAUCCUUUCGGAGACGAUAAAUUAAGUACCAUUGGCAUAUUAGGGUCGAUCUCAUCGACUGGCCCCAUCCCGGAAAAAUUUCGGGCCUUGUGCCUAGAUUAGAAAAUAAUAUGCGUGUUGAAUUUUAGCAGGAGUGGCUGUGUGGUCAGAAGCUUGCUUCCAAACUACAUUGUUCCGGGUUCACUCCCACUGCGUGGCACUUUGGGCGAGUGUCUUCUGCUAUUGCUUCGGGCCGACCGAAGCCUUGUGAGUGGUUUUGGUAGACGGAAAUUGAAAGAAAUCCGUAGUAAAUAUUGUGUGUGUGUGUGGGGGGGGGUGUACUUGGGUGUCUGUAUUUGUCCGCCCACCAUCGCUACACAAUCGAUGUUGGUGUGUUUACCAUCCCGUUACUUAGCAGAUCGGCAAAAGAGACCGAUAGCAUCAGUAUUAGGCUGGAGUCAAUUUGUUCGACUAAAGGUGAUGAUCCAGCAUGGCUCCAGUCAAAUGAAUGAAACAAAUAAAAGAGUAAAAAAAAGUGAAAGAAUAUGUAAUUGUCUUUAGAACAAUAUCUGAAAGUAAUUUCCGUUAAUAAAAUUCCAUGUAACAAAA